rnacentral:rRNA from 1 species
UACGGUGGGGGCAAGCGUUGUUCGGAAUUACUGGGCGUAAAGGGCUCGUAGGUGGCCAACUAAGUCAGACGUGAAAUCCCUCAGCUUAACUGGGGAACUGCGUCUGAUACUGGAUGGCUUGAGUUUGGGAGAGGGACGCGGAAUUCCAGGUGUAGCGGUGGAAUGCGCAGAUAUCAGGAAGAACACCAACGGCGAAGGCAGCUCGCUGGGACGGUACUGACGCUGAGACGCGAAAGCGUGGGGAGCGAACAGG